GGCUUUCGUCACCUCGUGUCGUGAAAUUUUGGUUUAAUUCCCGAAAGGAGCGCACCCUUUUCCUUGUUUUCCCAGCGGUAAUGGUGGGCACUUUAAGGAGACUGCCGGUGACAAACCGGAGGAAGGUGGGGAUGACGUCAAGUCAUCAUGGCCCUUACGGCCAGGGCUACACACGUGCUACAAUGGUCGGUACAAAGGGUUGCCAAGCCGCGAGGUGGAGCUAAUCCCAUAAAACCGAUCGUAGUCCGGAUCGCAGUCUGCAACUCGCCUGCGGAAGUCGGAAUCGCUAGUAAUCGGA
rnacentral:rRNA from 1 species